rnacentral:rRNA from 1 species
AUAAGCGGAGGAAAAGAAACCAACAGGGAUUACCUCAGUAACGGCGAGUGAAGCGGUAACAGCUCAAAUUUGAAAUCUGGCUCCUCGGAGUCCGAAUUGUAAUUUGCAGAAGAUGCUUUGGGUCUCGGCCUAGCCUAAGUUCCUUGGAACAGGACGUCGUAGAGGGUGAGAAUCCCGUAUGCGGCUGGCGCCGGUGCCCGUGUAAAGCUCUUUCAACGAGUCGAGUUGUUUGGGAAUGCAGCUCUAAAUGGGUGGUAAAUUUCACCUAAAGCUAAAUAUUGGCCAGAGACCGAUAGCGCACAAGUAGAGUGAUCGAAAGAUGAAAAGCACUUUGGAAAGAGAGUUAAACAGUACGUGAAAUUGUUGAAAGGGAAGCGCUGGCAACCAGACUUGGGCGCUGUCGAUCCGCUAGGGUUUUCUCUAGGGCACUCGGCAGCGCGCAGGCCAGCAUCGGUUUGGGGGGUUGGAGAAUGGCUGGUGGAAUGUGGCUGUCUUCGGGCAGUGUUAUAGCCACCGGUGGCAUGCAGCCUCCCCGGACCGAGGACCGCGCUUCGGCUAGGAUGCUGGCGUAAUGGUUGUCAGCGACCC